rnacentral:piRNA from 1 species
UUCCAUUUGGGUGACGGUGUAGCUGGAC